rnacentral:rRNA from 5 species
CCCCGGUAAACGGCGGCCGUAACUAUAACGGUCCUAAGGUAGCGAAAUUCCUUGUCGGGUAAGUUCCGACCUGCACGAAUGGCGUAAUGAUGGCCAGGCUGUCUCCACCCGAGACUCAGUGAAAUUGAACUCGCUGUGAAGAUGCAGUGUACCCGCGGCAAGACGGAAAGACCCCGUGAACCUUUACUAUAGCUUGACACUGAACAUUGAGCCUUGAUGUGUAGGAUAGGUGGGAGGCUUUGAAGUGUGGACGCCAGUCUGCAUGGAGCCGACCUUGAAAUACCACCCUUUAAUGUUUGAUGUUCUAACGUGGACCCGUAAUCCGGGUUGCGGACAGUGUCUGGUGGGUAGUUUGACUGGGGCGGUCUCCUCCUAAAGAGUAACGGAGGAGCACGAAGGUUGGCUAAUCCUGGUCGGACAUCAGGAGGUUAGUGCAAUGGCAUAAGCCAGCUUGACUGCGAGCGUGACGGCGCGAGCAGGUGCGAAAGCAGGUCAUAGUGAUCCGGUGGUUCUGAAUGGAAGGGCCAUCGCUCAACGGAUAAAAGGUACUCCGGGGAUAACAGGCUGAUACCGCCCAAGAGUUCAUAUCGACGGCGGUGUUUGGCACCUCGAUGUCGGCUCAUCACAUCCUGGGGCUGAAGUAGGUCCCAAGGGUAUGGCUGUUCGCCAUUUAAAGUGGUACGCGAGCUGGGUUUAGAACGUCGUGAGACAGUUCGGUCCCUAUCUGCCGUGGGCGCUGGAGAACUGAGGGGGGCUGCUCCUAGUACGAGAGGACCGGAGUGGACGCAUCACUGGUGUUCGGGUUGUCAUGCCAAUGGCACUGCCCGGUAGCUAAAUGCGGAAGAGAUAAGUGCUGAAAGCAUCUAAGCACGAAACUUGCCCCGAGAUGAGUUCUCCCUGAGACUUAGAGUCUCCUGAAGGAACGUUGAAGACGACGACGUUGAUA